rnacentral:rRNA from 1 species
GCUACGGGAGGCAGCAGUCGAGAAUCAUUCACAAUGGGGGAAACCCUGAUGGUGCGACGCCGCGUGGGGGAAUGAAGGUCUUCGGAGUGUAAACCCCUGUCAUGUGGGAGCAAAUUAAAAAGAUAGUACCACAAGAGGAAGAGACGGCUAACUCUGUGCCAGCAGCCGCGGUAAUACAGAGGUCUCAAGCGUUGUUGGGAAUCAAUGGGAGUAAAGGGUGCGUAGGCUGUUUCGUAAGUCGUGUGUGAAAGGCGCGGGCCCAACCCGCGGAGGGCACAGGAUUCGGCGAGACUAGAUAAAUGGAGGGGGAACCGGAAUUCUCGGUGUAGCAGUGAAAUGCGUAGAUAUCGAGAGGAACACUCGUGGCGAAGGCGGGUUCCUGGACAUUAACUGACGCUGAGGCACGAAGGCCAGGGGAGCGAAAGGGAUUAGAUACCCCAGUAGUC